GGCGGUCUGCCGGGCGGGGACCCUUCUCACUGUGCAGGGCCGCUGGGGGCCGCCUGCAGAGCCUGGGGCGCUGGCCGCAGGCCUGUUUGCCAGGGAGCUUCCUGGUCAGUGCACUGUGCACAGAUGCGGCAAGAAGACACCACCACUGAGCCAGAAAACUAACCCUCACCAGACACUGAACCUACCGGAAGCACCUUGAUCUCAGAAUUCCUGACCUUAGUAGCCUUGAGAAGUCUUAUGCUUGGUGGAGACUCAGGGUCCCUGAGAACCGACAUGGAAAGAACAGAGAUUCAAAACUUACUCUCUUCACCUGAAUUGAUCAACAACAGCAACAACAUCAACCACCAUAUUAGAUAGCAUUUAUUGUGACCUCAGGAUGGGUCACACACUGUGCUCAGCAUUUUGCUACAUUGGCUUCUUAAGAAUAGGGACAAAAUUUAUACCACUUAUAAUUUGUAGCACUUUACUCUGAAAAUAGUGAGCUUAUGUAGCCAAAGCAGAGAUUAAACAAAGCCCAUUCUUCCUCAGUGGCUAAACUCAACCGCUACAUAAUUUGGGAGAAAUUAUAAGCAGCAUAUCAAAUAUUAUUUAGAUUUGGAUCUUGCUAAGAUUUAUCUUUCCUAUUGUGAUCUUAUCCUAUUUGGUGCUCACAAAUACCCUGUCAAGUAGGGAUGACUAUCCACAUCUGGCAGAUGAGGAGUCUGAGAUUCCCAGAUCUAAACGUCAUUCACAUAAUAUAUCUGUCACCUACCUGGCAAUGGAAAGAUACUCAGAAGUGAAAAUUCUCCCUUACAAACAAAUCUAUUUCUUCCUUCCACCUCCCUCCUGAAAAAGAAAAUGCACACACUCUACAAGAAACAUUGUUUGGUACACACUUUUAUAAAGCUAUACAUUGUAAUUAUGAAAGGGAGAUUGUCAUCAACUUGAAUCAUACUAAAAAUGCUCAUCUUUUUUUAAACGGAAAAAGAGGAAUAAAUACUCAUUAACACUGAAGGCCUUAGAACUUAAAUUCUACUUUGAGAUAGAAAAUUGGUAUGAAAAAAAGUCUGCAUUAGUUGUCCCCAUGUACUCUUCCCGCCCUGCUUCAUUAAAAAUAAUUUAUACAAGUAAUCAUCUUCAAAGCCAAAAGUGAUUUUAGAGGAAACUUCAAUCACUUACCCUUUAGAUUUUAAAAAGCAUCAAGCCUUACCAAACAUGUAGCUAAGUGUUAACUCUCCUCUUUGACGGUACAUACACUGCUUUUUGACCUCCUGGAAGGUCUGCAGAGGACUGAGGGGCCAGGAUGGAGGCAUGAAAAGUGAUUUUGCUUUUCAUAUUGACCUGAAGGCAUUUUGUGUGUGUAUACAGAUGUUUGCACACAUGUAUGUGUAUGCAUGUAUACACAUGUAGAGAGGUGUAUAAAUAGAAAGAUGUUGGAUCACAGCAAAACACUGAAAAACUAGCUCCUUUCAUGCAAUCCUUCCUUCUGGGCUGAUAUAACUUCUUUCAAGAUGUUACUAUACUUGUUCAGUUUAAAACAACUGAAUAUUUCUUUAGAACUUCACAAAUGUACUGACCAUUCCUCGGUUAACAUCAACAUUAGUGUUUUUUACCCAAUUAAGUCCAAUGUGCCAGUAUUUUCUCCAGGAAAACUUGAGGACAAUUAUGACCAUUGCUAACCACAAGAGAAAAAGCUGUAUCAACUAGAAUAACCUAAUCUUCAUAAUAUUUAGCACAUACCUUUUUGCAUGGGCCAGAAACCACCCUGAAGGCCUUAUAUCCACCCAUUAUAAGAUUGAGAGGUCAGUAAUAUUAUUAUUAAUAACUUUGUUAUGAUGAUAUUUAUACAUGAAAUCUAAAAAGUCAAUUUGGUGGUAACAACCAUUCUACUCUCUGCUUCCCAACUGGAGGGCAUGUCUAGUGGUUGAGAGAUGCCAACAGACGGGGGUGCACAUAAGCACGGGACAUGAGGAACAGCCUGAGCAUGGGUGGACAAUGUGUCUCCACUAAAGGAAAGAAUAAUCUCUUUAAUAUGAAAGGAAGACCAAUGGUUUAUUGAUUUAUUUACUGCCUCCUCCUUUUUUCUCUCUUUGUACAUAGUGAAGUUGUUUUGGUAGAAGUUGCUUAGUAGAAUUUUUUUUGGGGGGGGGGCAGGGGUUCUGGUGACUAAACUCAGAAGCAUGCUAUCAGUGAGAAGCAUCCUCAGCCCUUUUUAUUUUUAUUUAGUUUAUUCGUUUAUUUUUUGAGACAGGGUCUAAGUUGCAGACCUCACUAAGUUCCUGAGGCUGACCUUGAACUUGUCAUGCUUCUGCUUCCCAAGUUGCUGGGAUAAGAGCCAUGUGCCACAAUGCCAGGCUGAAACUUGUAGAACGUAAGACUUAGGUGGAACUUGAGAACCUUAAUCCUGCCUUAUGCCUCUCACAAAUAUCAGUAAGUCAAUAAAUAAUUAUGUACUUCUGGUCAAUGAGUGUAUGAAAUGGAGGUGGUCAGCCAUGGCCUUAGGAUCAAACAGAUCCAGACCAAAUUCUAAUGCUGCCACAUUUUGCCUGUGAACUUAGGUAAAUGCCAUACUAAGUAUCUUUUUCACCAUAGUUCUCUUACCUGUGAAAUUGAGGUAAUAGUAUGGCACACCUCAGGAGGAGGAUAGAAUUAAAUGCAACAAUGUAUGUGGAGUGCUUAGCAUUUUACAAUAAAUAUUAGUUGUCUAUUUUAGUAAUUAAGUUGUUUAAAAUAGAUUGCUCCUAGUAAGUUACUGUUCAGAAAAAAAUAUUUCUUCACCUAAUAUGACCUUGAAUGCCCCUGGAUGAAAAUAUUUAGAAAACUCAAUGAAGGACAGUCACACUUACAGUGGAUCAUGGAACUUAAGUAGCCAGAGUGAGUUUAAGCAUGAUGUGGUCACAGCUGUGCUUUAUUUACCUUAUUUACUUAGGGAAUUCUCUGGGAUGCACUCCUGUUUUGUCAGCUGAGUGUUCAUAGAGGCUGCCCUCAUGACCAAGUGGCUGUUAGUCCUCAGCCGACCCUCUUUGCAUGUGCCCAUCCCAUGUAGAAAAAGGCUACAGAAACCCUAAAUUUCAUGUUUGUGUCCCACAGUGUCCAAAACGAGAUCACCAUCUAAGAUUCGAAGAUUGACUUUCCUUGUGAUUAAACCACAACCCAACUAAAACCAACCAAUAUGCCCAGGGUAAACCAUGGAAGUAGCAGUUGGCUUAGGCCAAGAUUAACUGAAUAAAAAUAGUUGAACAGGUGGAGUAUGAUUGACCCACUUGCUCCUAUGAGGGGCCUUGCCUUAGAAAUGGAGGUAAGUUUUUAAGAACUUUGAAUUCUCUGUUUAGAGACAAGAUAGAGAGGGAGAGACACAAACAGAGGACUUUGUGAAUUCAGGUAUAUGAAUGAAGCAUUGGGAGGAAAAUAUUCCUCAAGUAGAUUUUCAUAUUUCUAUGUUAAUUUAACAUUUUCCAGACAUACACAUUGAGUUCUCACCUUUAUAGACACAGUAUGCACUUUCAGCUUGAUAUCAAGCAUUCCAGCCAAACUAAUCCCUGUACUCAAGCACAACCAUUAAUGAGCUGCAAGAUUUUCAAUAAGUCACAUCUGUUCCCUGGGCAUCAAAGUUGUCCAGUUAAAAAAAAAAAAAAAGAAAAGAAAAGGCUUGGGGCUGGGGCUAGGACUCAGGGGUAGCACACCUGCCUAGCUUGUAUGAGGCACUGAGUUUGUUUCUCAGCACCACAUAUAAAUAAAUAAAUAAGUAAAAAGGUCUAUCAACAACUAAAAAAAUAAAAAUUGAAGUUAAAAAAAAAAAAAAGGAGUCUGAGGGAGAUGAACUCAAAAUUCCCAUUAGUUCCAUGGGUCUCCAAGAACACAAUGCAUUUCCUUUAUAAAUGGGGAAGAUAUCUGUUAAGCAAUCUCCCAACUUCUGUUCUGAAAAUUACACAAAAUAACCCAAGCUCCUUUUAUCUUUCAUCACUAGGACUAUUUUCUAUCCCUUUAAUCUUUUUGUUGAUAUUCUAUGGACCUUCUUCAGUUUCUCCACAUUCCAUUCUUUAUAUGAAAUUUCUAUCAAAAAAAGUCAGAGAUAUCAAUAAUGUUUCCUAAGUAAGAAGUGAUCCAUUUCUCCAUUCAAAAAAGGUCAUUGUGAAUUUUGCCUUUGUGUUUAGGAAUAUUAUUUUUAUUUAAAAUUCCCAUCUUAGAUGAUUUUGCACGGAGUUUAAAAUACACUGUUUUGUUUUCAAUUUAAGGUCAUUUUUAUUUGUUGUAAACUUUAAAUUCAAUAAAAUAUACAAUGCUCAUUAUCCACUCACUAAAUUAACCUGUGUAACUCAAAUUGUUAACAAAAACCCAGAAACUUCACAUCAUUCCAGAAUGUCCUCAUGUUCCUUCCAAGUCAAUCAUUACUCCUGUGAUCCAAAAGAACAAUUAUUCUAAUUUUUCCCAACAUAGAUUAAAUUUGCCAGUUGUAGAAUUUCAUCUAAAUAAAAUUAAGCAAUAUGUGCUUGUUUAUAUGGAAAGGCUACCUUUGUCCGAAUUCAAUUGAAUGUUUGUGUCCUGAAACUUAUGCAUU